rnacentral:pre_miRNA from 1 species
GAAGUACUCCCUCCGUCCCAAAAUUCUUGUCUUAAAUUUGUCUAAAUACGGAUGUAUCAAGUCACAUUUUAGUAUUAGAUACAUCCAUAUCUAGACAAAUCUAAGACAAGAAUUUUGGGACGAAGGGAGUACUAA